UACUAGGAAUGAGCAGAUGGUGAUAGCCUC
rnacentral:piRNA from 1 species